UACGUAGGGGCCAAGCGUUGUCCGGAAUUAUUGGGCGUAAAGAGCUCGUAGGCGGUUCGGUAAGUCGACUGUGAAAUCUCCACGCUCAACGUGGAGAGGUCAGUUGAUACUGCCGUGACUAGAGUCCGGUAGAGGAGUGUGGAAUUCCCGGUGUAGCGGUGAAAUGCGCAGAGAUCGGGAGGAACACCCGUAGCGAAGGCGGCACUCUGGGCCGUGACUGACGCUGAGGAGCGAAAGCGUGGGGAGCAAACAGG
rnacentral:rRNA from 1 species